CCGGCGCACGGGUGCGUAACGCGUAUGCAACCUACCUUUAACAGGUGGAUAACACUGAGAAAUUGGUACUAAUACCCCAUAAUAUCAUAGAAGGCAUCUUUUAUGGUUGAAAAUUCCGAUGGUUAGAGAUGGGCAUGCGUUGUAUUAGCUAGUUGGUGGGGUAACGGCUCACCAAGGCGACGAUACAUAGGGGGACUGAGAGGUUAACCCCCCACACUGGUACUGAGACACGGACCAG
rnacentral:rRNA from 1 species